GUGGAUGAAAUUUGACAGCUGUGACGUGUUUUGCCAGCUUUAGGAGCAGAUAUCACGGCUUCUUCAGGUUCUGCACACUGCACAUUUUCUCACAGUCUCCUCCUAUCGGAAUGUCAUUACCAGCGUGUGUUGUGCCGAACGCACUUUUGGGAGUUGUCGCAUUACUACCUCCACGAAAACAAAUGUCACAAAUGUUGGUGCUCGUUGUCGGCAUGCGUUGGGUCGACCUAAUGUUUGCACACGUGGCGUCUCGCUAGCCCAGUCCUCCGGUCUCUGAAUACAAAGUGGAAGCAAAAUUGUAAAUUCAUGGCCCUUCGAUUGGACAGGUUGCCUUGCCAUGCGGUUUAUCGAAGUUCUCACCUCGUUUUAAAGCUCUGCUUGGUGUGAUCCCCUUGUGGCCUCCUGUGGUUCUCAGACAUUUGUGGCAUGUGAGCGUGUCCCGUUGUUUGCCAUGCAUUGAUGGCGUUCCUUCUCUCUAACAAACUCUGAAAAUAUAUCACACAUCUAAUUUCGCCUUGCUGGCGGGAUCUCUGGUUGAUGCCUGUAGGGUUUUUGUGGCCUGUUCUAGGACUUAAGGGACAUGGUGCCCCUGCGAUAGACUGGAUAGUCCUCCGUGCCUGUAAGUUGAAUGACCAAAUUGGUUUUUGAUCGCCCUUGUACAAUCGAAACCUGAUGAACUUCAGCAACCGUCGUUCCAG
rnacentral:lncRNA from 1 species